UACGUAGGGUGCGAGCGUUGUCCGGAAUUAUUGGGCGUAAAGAGCUCGUAGGUGGUUUGGUAAGUCGGAUGUGAAAUCUCCAGGCUCAACCUGGAGGGGUCAUUCGAUACUGCCAUGACUAGAGGUCGGUAGGGGAGUGUGGAAUUCCUGGUGGAGCGGUGAAAUGCGUAGAUAUCUGGAGGAACACCGGUGGCGAAGGCGGCAUCCUGGACCACGACUGACGCUGAGUGAGCGAAAGCCAGGGGAGCAAACGGG
rnacentral:rRNA from 1 species